rnacentral:rRNA from 1 species
UACGGGGGGGGCAAGCGUUGUUCGGAAUUACUGGGCGUAAAGGGCUCGUAGGCGGCCAACUAAGUCGGAUGUGAAAUCCCCAGGCUUAACCUGGGAACUGCAUCCGAUACUGGCGGGCUUGAAUCCGGGAGAGGGAUGCAGAAUUCCAGGUGUAGCGGUGAAAUGCGUAGAUAUCUGGAGGAAUACCGGUGGCGAAGGCGGCAUCCUGGACCGGCAUUGACGCUGAGGAGCGAAAGCCAGGGGAGCAAACGGG